rnacentral:tRNA from 1 species
GGAGUUGUGGCUCAGAGAUAGAGUGCUCACCUAGCAUGUGCAAGGCCCUGGGUUCGAUUCUCAGCACCA